rnacentral:sRNA from 12 species
GACGUGAUAUACUUUUAAUAGAGGGAGGGGAGUUUCACCCCUCUGAUUUAGCGGUUCUUGUCUUUAUCAUUCUUGUGUAUUGUUGUCAGCGCUACUACAAGAGUGAUAAUUUCAAGGACUGUUUUUAUUUCCUCUAAAACAUCUUUCACU